rnacentral:rRNA from 1 species
GACCCCUUCAAUCGUACUGAGAACUUCUAUAAUACUAUAGAACCUUUUAUGCUAAAACUAGUAACAAGAGGUAGUCCCUCUCCAUAAUGCAAAAUUAAACCAACAAGGACCCCCCACUGGAAAUUAACAGCCCUAAACUAAAGCAGUACCCCCCCCCCAAAAGAUCCUGCUUUCCCCCCCCCGUUAACCUUACACUAGAGCAUUUCAGGAAAGAUUUUUUAAAAAAGAAGGAACUCGGCAAAUACUACCCCCGCCUGUUUACCAAAAACAUCGCCUCUUGCCCUCAUAAGAGGUCCAGCCUGCCCAGUGACUCUUGUUUAACGGCCGCGGUAUCCUAACCGUGCGAAGGUAGCGUAAUCACUUGUUUUCUAAAUAAAGACCAGUAUGAAAGGCACCACGAGGGGUAAACUGUCUCCUUUUUUUAAUCAGUGAAUCUAAUCUCCCCGUGAAGAAGCGGGGAUUCUCAUAUAAGACGAGAAGACCCCAUGGAGCUUAAAACAUCAUAACACCUGCCACCCCACCCCACCUGCCCCGACAUUCCUCUCCCUGGCACACUGAUUAUAUGUUUUUGGUUGGGGCGACCGCGGAGAAAAACUUAUCCUCCACGAUGAAGGGGAUUUCCCUGAACAAUAAGCCACAACUUUAUGUACCAAUAAAUUGACAUUCAUUGACCCGAUAUAUCGAUUAACGAACCAAGUUACCCUGGGGAUAACAGCGCAAUCCACUUUGAGAGCCCCUAUCGACAAGUGGGCUUACGACCUCGAUGUUGGAUCGGGGUACCCCGGUGG